GAUGAACGCUGGCGGCGUGCCUAACACAUGCAAGUCGAGCGAAGCACUUUGCUUAGAUUCUUCGGAUGAAGAGGAUUGUGACUGAGCGGCGGACGGGUGAGUAACGCGUGGGUAACCUGCCUCAUACAGGGGGAUAACAGUUAGAAAUGACUGCUAAUACCGCAUAAGACCACAGCGCCGCAUGGUGCGGGGGUAAAAACUCCGGUGGUAUGAGAUGGACCCGCGUCUGAUUAGCUGGUUGGUAAGGUAACGGCUUACCAAGGCGACGAUCAGUAGCCGACCUGAGAGGGUGACCGGCCACAUUGGGACUGAGACACGGCCCAAACUCCUACGGGAGGCAGCAGUGGGGAAUAUUGCACAAUGGGGGAAACCCUGAUGCAGCGACGCCGCGUGAGCGAAGAAGUAUUUCGGUAUGUAAAGCUCUAUCAGCAGGGAAGAAAAUGACGGUAC
rnacentral:rRNA from 1 species